GAAUUCCAGGCCAAAAGGACUCAACAGAGACAACAUUGUCAGUACACAAAACAAAAAGUUGGAAUGAUUAAGAAAAAUGCAUGUUUCUAUACAUAUUUUAUGUGAAUUAAUCAUUAUUGACAGUAAUUGCACAAGUGUAAGUAAAAACUUUAAAAAAAUCCAACUGUUGAAUAUUUGAUUGUUAAAUGCUAAACGUUAAACUAAAGUGUACAUGGUCCAUGUUAAUGUUUUUAGUAUUUUUUUUUCAGAUGAGGAGCCAGGUAAAACUAAAAGGUCACAAUAUGAUUUACUAUCAUAUUAUUAUUUCAUUCUGAUUUUUCUCCUGGUUUUUUUUUCUGAGUUAGAUGAGGAGCAACCAGUACAUCAAAGCAAAAAGAUGCUAUGAUAUUGUCUGAGGCACCUUAUUGUGAGUACAUUUACCGUGUUUUCCGGACUAUAAGUGGCUCCGGAGUAUAAGUCGCAUGAGUCAAAAAAUGUGUCAUGAAGAUGAAAAAAACAUAUAUAAGUCGCACUGGACUAUAAGUCGCAUUUAUUUAGAAAAUUUUUAUUCUUUUUGGGGACAUUUUGUUUGUUAAGUCUUUCUCCAUUGUCUUUAGGUUAAUGUUUCAGUUAACAGUUUUUUCAGGGGUAGGCUACAGGAGCAACAUAUAGCACCCUCUCGUGGCUGUAGACAUUUUCUAUGUUUCUAUGUGUAAUGUUUUCUUUUGGUUCAUGUUAGUCAGUAUGAAUUAAUUUUUACAUAUAAGUCGCAGGACCAGCCAAACUAUAAAAAAAGUGCGACUUAUAGUCCGGAAAAUACGGUAUAUGUUAACAGUCAUUUAAAUAGUCAUACUUCUGUGGAAUUAAAAACAUAUAAGUUAGUCUCAGUCAGUAUUUGUAGUAUAAUGAUGAUUACAUUAUUUCUAUUUAUUCAUUUAGCAUACACCUAAAGUGACUUAAAAAUGAUAGAGCAUUCAACAUUUUACAACAUUUACUACAAUACUUACAUCAUCAAUUUUUUUAUUUUUUUCUAAUCUGGGUUGUGUUUACAGUUCCAUGUCCUUCACAAUCACAACUGCAGCACACCAGUCAAUUUCUGCCAUUCAGAAGAAUCAGAAAGAAAUCCUGGAUUGGAAAAUCAUUCUGAAAGUAGACUAAAUUCAGGACAACAUCACAGCAGUGGUCGGAAAAACAUCAGUCAAUGAGCAAGCCAAGCUAACUUUCCAAAGAUGAUUUGUUAUCUGUCUUCAGAGGGAAGGCAGCUUGGAGGAUGCUACAGCUACACAGGGAGAAUUUCAGCAGCUCAGUUUCAUACUUGCAACUAAUAAUGAAUAAUAGUUAGAAGACAGCGGAAAGAAUUGACAUCGCAUAGACACACACCAAGAGACACGCACACACACGCAGCUGAAGCGAGUUUGACUGACGCGCAUGGGAGAUCGGGCACCGUGCACGCACACACAAACAUGGAGCACAGCAUAAUUACAACUGUUGGAUUAAAAUAAAAGUACUUUGUGGUAUACAAUGUUUCUCGUGUCUGUUUUCAUUGGUUAGCAGGGAAAUAAAAUGACUUGCUGAGGACUUUAGGCGAACGUCCCCUAAAAGUCCCAAAAGUCUGCUGAACGUCCCUGUGAAAGUCCGGAGGCGUCGUCGCGGACGUCCGCUCGACGUAACGGGUACCCUACACAAUGACGUCUGUGGGACGUUCGCAGAGAACGUUUAGGGGACGUCCUGGGGACCUUUUUUGUUAGCUGGGAGCUGGCUGUCCAAUGACAUGGUUGGCCUAACGUUGGCCCAACGUUGUUUUAGUGGUUUUUAAGUUGGCAGAAGGUUGGUAAGGUUUUUUUUAGGUUGGCAGAAGGUCUGCUGGCCGUCCAAUAACAUGGUUGGCCCAACGUUGGCCCAACGGACAAAAUUACGUUGGGCCAACGUCAGCACCCAACGUUGGCCCAACACAACAACAAACGUUGGGCCAACGUUGG